UACGAAGGGGGCUAGCGUUGUUCGGAAUGACUGGGCGUAAAGGGCGCGUAGGCGGCUUAAUAAGUUUGGUGUGAAAUCCCUGGGCUCAACCUAGGAAUUGCAUUGAAAACUGUUAAGCUAGAGACUAAGAGAGGGAAAUGGAAUUGCGUGUGUAGAGGUGAAAUUCGUAGAUAUACGCAAGAACACCGGCGGCGAAGGCGAUUUCCUGGCUUAGAACUGACGCUAAGGCGCGAAAGCGUGGGGAGCAAACAGG
rnacentral:rRNA from 1 species